rnacentral:rRNA from 1 species
UACGUAGGGGGCAAGCGUUGUCCGGAUUUAUUGGGCGUAAAGGGCGCGUAGGCGGCCGAAUAAGUCUGACGUGAAAUCCCACGGCCCAACCGUGGAACUGCGUUUGAUACUGCUCGGCUCGAGUCCGGGAGAGGGUAGCGGAAUUCCCAGUGUAGCGGUGAAAUGCGUAGAUAUUGGGAGGAACACCGGUGGCGAAGGCGGCUACCUGGACCGGUACUGACGCUGAGGCGCGAAAGCUAGGGUAGCAAACAGG